rnacentral:lncRNA from 1 species
AAACAACUCACAGUAAUAAGAACUGUAGCAAUAAGAAGAACCGUACUAGUAUUUGUAAAAUAUUUAGAAAAUAUUUUGCUAUCAAACGAGGCCUACGCCAUAUUUCUGACAGUCUUUUGUUUUGUAUUAGCUGACUGUAACCCUAUUACAGAGUUACAUAGGAAUAAACUCUAUUCUCACCCCGAUAAAAGAGAAAAACUGGUCGACGAGUGCUAGAGACGACGCACCGCCUGCAGCUUCCAGUUACACACAGGAUGAAACGCUGAUACUGUUCACCCACCGCCUGCUUGCUUCGCCCAACAUCCAGAGGUAGCACAGAGCCUUGAACCAGACGCAAAGCAGAGCUUUCAUUGGCUGGCUCUGCCUGCUGUUUGCCUACCUCAGCUUUGCAGCGGCGUUCUUUAUUUCGACUGGCGCCUGACGGAUACGUAGGCGUAGGCUGGGUUCAUCGUGCCAAUCCCGCGCGCCACCCACCACGCUGCUGUCCAUCCCCGCUCUGCCGCACUACCCAUCCCCGCUUCACCGCGCCCGAAUUUAAAACUCUUCCUUUGGACGGACGCGGAUUUCAUAAAGCCUACAUUUUGGGGCCUGAAAAAAAGAAAGCCUAAAUUUCGGUGUGCAGGCGCAUGCGCAGUCAUUUGCAAGCACGAUUAGUAUAUAUUUUUUUCUUUGAGAAACUGCAUCAGAUGGCAUGAAACAGUAGCCUUUUUCUUAGGUCAUAGUAUUAUUUUGUGUAUCAUUUUUUUGAGAGAAUUGUUUCGUUUAGACUUAAAUUGCAAAACAUGCUCAACACGCCUGGUGGGCCGAAUCCCGACCAGUAUGCUUAUCCAUACCACUAGUAAUAUCUUUUCUUGAUGCCUGCCUAUAUAUCUCCCUCUGCCGCGAAUGCUCCCAACUCACAAAGCUAGGAAGGAAUCUUGUAGAGAAGCGUAAAUGAGGUGAGGUCAUAAAAUCUCUGAUCGUCCCUCACGCUGGACUUGUCAGCUUUCACGCGUCUAUCAUCACGUUCAUCAUAAUUGAGAGUGGAAGCGUGCCUGGUCAAGGCUGCCCUGCGCAGGUGCAGCUCCU